GGAUAGUUCAGUCAGUAGAACGUGAGACACUUACUCUUAGAGUUUUGGGUUCAAACCCCACAUUGGGCA